GUGAUCAGAGAGCUCCUAUCUUUGCCUAAUUGUUCCUGUCAAGGACUCCUAGCUGAAGAGGGAUUCACUUCGCUGUGGAGAGCAGCUCUGAACAAGGAGACAACAGAAAUUCCUGUUAUAGUGAGGAGGAGCACAGACAGGUUCCAGAGGCUGAAACUGACUGCAGGAUUCUUGAUGAUUGCUGUUUACAUCAAAGAGUCACCAGUGGAAGCCACUGAGCCGUCUUCUAUCUGAGGGGAGUUUGCCUGAGGCCUGGCAGUGCACAGAAGGCAGCUGUUAUACCAUGGGACCCACCCAGAAUGGGGUCCCACCAUGAAGUCCUCCCACAAAUGGAAUAUCCCAUCCAACUGACCAAUAGCACACAUCUAAACUAUGUGGAAACUCCUGUAAGGAAUCAUAGCAGCAAUGGUUUCAUAAGUUAGUACAUGAGCAGGGGUCCUGAAAGGGGUUGGCAGUAACACCAGAAGAGCCAAGCACAGCUACUGGUUGAAAGAGCAGUCAGCUAUGACUAGACAUACGAACCUCUACACUGCAUGAAUUGACUACAAGAAAGCCUAAAUAGCACAUGCAUGGAUCCUGGAGUGUUUGAAACUGUAUAACAUCAACAGGACACUUAGAUCCUUCAUGAGGACCUCAAUGGGAAUGCAGAAGAAAACUCUGAAAGCCAAUUUGUAGCCAAUUGUCCAAGAUACCUUUAAGUGCAGGCUAUAUCAAGGGGAUGCUCUAUCUCUGCUACUGUUCUGUAUAGGCCUGAACACCCUCAGUCAGAUCAUCACAAAGAGCAGCAAUAGAUACGGAUUUCAAAAUGAAGCCACCAUCAGUCACAUCCUCUGCAUGGAUGACAUCAAGUCACUGAUCCACGUAACCAGGAUAUACAGCAAGGACAUUGGAAUAUCAUUGUGACUACAUAGGUGUGGCCGAAUGAUAUCCAAGAGAGGCAAGGUGAAUGCUACCAAAGGAUUUGAACUGCCAGAAGGUGAAACUGCUGAUGCUGAAGACAUCUACAUAAUAGGUUGGGAUCCUACAAGCAAUCGGCAACCUUGAUGAGACCGCAAGGAAGUCAGCCACAACCAAGUACUUACAAAGAAUAAGAAAGCAUCCAGACCUUGCUGAAAUCUCCCUCAACUUUGUGGACAAGCAUGUUAUACCUCCUCUUUAUUAUCCUCCUCAGCAUUAUUCUUUCGGUUUAUUUUUUUACAGAUGGAACGAGACUUUUUGUUGAGGUGGAUGAAAACAUGAACAAUUCUGCAUACCAAUCAGCAGUAAUUUAGAACAUUCUGGUGUCCGCUAAAAAGCAGAAGAUGAAGAUCUUGUUUUGUAGGUUCACUGGAAAUUUAAACACACUUCCAAAACAACAAAAUAAUUACUUUAUGACAGGAACAUUAAAGUUUUGGAAUGAGAAAGUCAGAGUCCAGAACUAAAUUUGACAGCAAGAUUGUGGGCUCACCUCAAGAGAGCUGUAGACAACAGUUGACCUCAAACUAAAUUAGAUUUGGCAACAAUUUGCAGUCAAGAGUUGACAAACAUUACCAACUUAAAUAUUAGUUUGAGGGCGUUCAUAAUUUUAAAACCGUUUGUUGUAGCAGUUAUUAUAAAUAUACUGUAUUUGAUAAAUUAUCAAUGGGAGGGGUGUUGAAGAAAAAUUAUUAUUAUAGUGCAUGACUAAAUAAAAAUUGUAUUAUACCACUGUAAAUGGGGUUUUAAAACAAAUGUCCCUCUAAAUUGACACAUUCUACCUUGAAAUAGUUUAUUUACACUUAGCAUUUAGUCCAUAGACAAUAAUGUCGGAGUGGAUAUUCAGCUUUUUGGGAUAGCUAGUGCAUUUACAGCAAAUGUCACUAAUGUGUACUGUCUCUAUCAAUAAACUAAACCAACAUCACACUGAAGUCAAAUUCUGUUUGACUCAGUGUAGACACACAAUAAACCAAAAAGUAAUGUCUCAGUCUCCUCCUAUCUCUGUUAGAAAUUUAAAUUAUGUUUUUUUUCCCAGUAGGGACUAAACAAUAAUGGCUAGCUUGGAAAGUUUCUUGUCUUAGAUUACAAAAACGCCAAAAUCACAUCUAGAGGGAUGCUGUGAAACUGCUUUUAAUGCAAAGUUCAACAUUCUGGUCUGAUGAUUUAGGCCUGGACCUUCAGUCUGGGAGGUGAAGCUCUCGGAAAUGUGUUAAUGCAAAAGGACAAUUUACCCAUCACAGCAGCAAAUCUACAACACAGUGGCUGAAAUAAAAAAGAAAUCAAGGUGGUACAAUGGCCUUAUUAAUGCACAGACCUUAACCCAAUCCAAAUGCCAUGGCAGGACUUUGGGGCAGUUGUGCAUUCAUAACUACAUAGAAACAGAAAUGAGUUCCUCUACAACUUGUGAAAAAUCAGAUAAAGUCAGACAGAGGGUGAUUACUUUAUGGUUUUGCUGUAAAGAUGGUUCUUCAAGGUAAAAAAAUAUUGGAAAGUACAUUGUUUUUUUCCAACCACUGCUUUGGCAUUUUGUCUUUUUCUUCAAUAGACAAUGAUACACUGAAACAUUUCCUGUAUUGUUGUAUAAGUGAGAGUAUAAAGUCUGGUAAAAAGAUGCUACACCCUCUGUCAAUUGUAGGAUUAUAACCUUUAAAUGAUCCUUAAAGGAUUCUACUGUUAUCUACAUCUAAAUUCAUGUGUAUGAAAUCACUGAUGUAAUUGUUAUCAUUUACUGAACAAAGAUUAAACAAAAAUGUGAAAUUCUGAAAAAGUAUGUACACCCG